UACGUAGGGGGCAAGCGUUGUCCGGAAUCAUUGGGCGUAAAGAGCGUGUAGGCGGUUCAGUAAGUCUGCUGUGAAAGUCCAGGGCUCAACCCUGGGAUGCCGGUGGAUACUGCUGGGCUAGAGUACGGAAGAGGCGAGUGGAAUUCCCGGUGUAGCGGUGAAAUGCGCAGAUAUCAGGAGGAACACCGAUGGCGAAGGCAGCUCGCUGGGACGGUACUGACGCUGAGACGCGAAAGCGUGGGGAGCAAACAGG
rnacentral:rRNA from 1 species